rnacentral:rRNA from 1 species
GUAGUCAUAUGCUUGUCUCAAAGAUUAAGCCAUGCAUGUCUAAGUAUAAGCAAUUAUACCGUGAAACUGCGAAUGGCUCAUUAAAUCAGUUAUCGUUUAUUUGAUAAUACCUUACUACUUGGAUAACCGUGGUAAUUCUAGAGCUAAUACAUGCUGAAAAUCCCGACUUCGGAAGGGAUGUGUUUAUUAGAUAAAAAACCAAUGCCCUUCGGGGCUUUUUGGUGAUUCAUGAUAACUUUGCGGAUCGCAUAGCCUUGCGCUGGCGACGGUUCAUUCAAAUUUCCGCCCUAUCAACUUUCGAUGGUAAGGUAUUGGCUUACCAUGGUUUCAACGGGUAACGGGGAAU